rnacentral:lncRNA from 1 species
GGGAAGCAGAGGAGGCCAGGGAGGCAAUGGAGGCAGGAGAGGCUGGGGAGGUUAUGUCCUUUCCAUGAUUCUGCCCUGGAUCCUAGGCCCCUGAACUCCCUGAGCUUCCCCACCCCAAGCGCUGGAACCAGGUUGCACAAUGGUCUCCCCACUAAGCUCCUGAUGGCAGCCCCUACCCUGCUGUGCUCCCUAUUUCAACCCUAACAGCUCUCACAGUGGGCAGCACAUAGUAGGUGCUCAGGAAACACUGGUGGGAGAGCACGUGGGUCUGCUCAGCACCUUCCUCUCUCCUCCAGCUCUCCCCAUCAUGAAAUAAUUCUGAUAACGACACAUGGACUUUGAGACCCUCUUCUAUUACUUUCCAUAUGCUAAUCCAUCUAUACCUCACAGCAGCCCUGGGGGUGGGUGCAAUGAGGAUGCCCAUUUUAUAGAGGAGGAGACUGAGGUAUAAAGAGGGUAAGUGACAUACGCACACUACAGGGGCUGGGGCCAAGUGAUCAGAGCACUCAAUCCCCAAAGGCAAGGUGGAUGCAGUUACCAUAAAAGACAGCAGAGUCAAAGCUGCAACCAGAAUAGCCUGACUCGCAGAGACCUAUGGUGCC